UUCCGGUUGAUCCUGCCGGACCUGACUGCUAUCGGAUUGAUACUAAGCCAUGCGAGUCAUUGUAGCAAUACAAGGCAUACGGCUCAGUAACGCGUAGUCAACCUAACCUAUGGACGGGAAUAACCUCGGGAAACUGAGAAUAAUGCCCGAUAGAACAUUAUGCCUGGAAUGGUUUAUGUUCCAAAUGAUUUAUCGCCGUAGGAUGGGACUGCGGCCUAUCAGUUUGUUGGUGAGGUAAUGGCCCACCAAGACUAUUACAGGUACGGGCUCUGAGAGGAGUAGCCCGGAGAUGGGUACUGAGACACGGACCCAGGCCCUAUGGGGCGCAGCAGGCGAGAAAACUUUGCAAUGUGCGAAAGCACGACAAGGUUAAUCCGAGUGGUUUCUGCUAAAGGAACCUUUUGUCAGUCCUAGAAACACUGAUGAAUAAGGGGUGGGCAAGUUCUGGUGUCAGCCGCCGCGGUAAAACCAGCACCUCAAGUGGUCAGGAUGAUUAUUGGGCCUAAAGCAUCCGUAGCCGGCUCUGUAAGUUUUCGGUUAAAUCUGUACGCUCAACGUACAGGCUGCCGGGAAU
rnacentral:rRNA from 1 species